CCAACAUGCCGCAUCUUAGAGACCCUCAUGGGAUGCUGUUGGGGCUACAGCAGGGCAAAACAGUUCUUUCUUGGUUAUGUCAGAGGUGUAGGAAAGAAUGAGGCAACUCAGCUGCAGACAUACCUGGGGAGGCUUUGUUAGACCACAGCCCCAGGCUGCUGCUGCUGGUCUGCUGAAGACAUUUCCCUGCCAUCAAACAAGUUCAAACCUUUUGCUGAAACAGGACCUGGUUUCGUUAUUUUCUUCUCAAUUCUCACC